rnacentral:rRNA from 1 species
AACGAACGCUGGCGGCAUGCCUAACACAUGCAAGUCGAACGAAACCUUCGGGUCUAGUGGCGCACGGGUGCGUAACGCGUGGGGAGCUGCACUUAUGGUCAGAAUAACUCCCCGAAAGGGGUGCUAAUACCGGAUAAUGUCUUCUGCCCAAAGAUUUCUUGCCUUUGGAUGGGCCCGCGUUGGAUUAGCUAGUUGGUAGGGUAAAAGCCUACCACGGCGACGAUCCAUAGCUUGUUUGAGAGAAUGGUCAGCGACACUGGGACUAAGACGCGGCCCAGACUCCUACGGGAGGCAGCAGUGGGGAACAUUGGACCAUGGGCUAAAGCCUGAUCCAGCACGGCCGGGUGAGUGAUGAAGGCCUGAGAGUUGUAAAGUUCUUUUACCCGGGAUGAUAAUGACGGUACCGGGAGAAUAAGCUCCGGCUAACUCCGUG